rnacentral:rRNA from 1 species
UACGUAGGUGGCAAGCGUUGUCCGGAUUUAUUGGGCGUAAAGAGCGUGUAGGCGGCCAGGGAGGUCCGUUGUGAAAACUCGAGGCUCAACCUCGAGACGCCGAUGGAAACCCCCUGGCUAGAGUCCGGAAGAGGAGAGUGGAAUUCCUGGUGUAGCGGUGAAAUGCGCAGAUAUCAGGAAGAACACCCGCGGCUAAGGCGGCUCUCUAGUACGGUACUGACGCUGAGACGCGAAAGCGUGGGGAGCGAACAGG